UGUUUGGCUGGCACUGUUUGAAUCGGUGGGAGAGAGAGCAGGGAAGAGACGGGGGCGAGUACAUCGAAGACGAUGGCCUGCCAUGUCGCCGCCGACGAGCCACCCGCCAUCCCCACCAUACAGGAGCUUCGCGCGCACGACAAGCCACCCACCAUCCCCACCGUACAGGAGCUUUCGCGCGCCCGACAAACCCCCCGCCAUCUGUACCGUCGACGAGCUCCGUGCGGGCGACGCGCCCUCCGCCAUCAGCAGGCCCCCGAUCUCUGCGCCGCCGAGCGAACCAACCACCAAUUUUUUUGUUCCAUCAAGAAAGAAACAAGCAAAAUUAUGCUGAUAUUCGGAUGGGGUUCAGAAGAAGCAUAUCACACAGAAGGAUCUUGAAAGGAAGAUUCAGAAAACCCACCCUGGCAUAUCUCAACCGCGAGAUCAAAAUACAAAUCAACGGCGUCCGCGACGGGUCUGAAGAAUGCUUCUCAACAGAUGUCUGUAGGAAAGUGUUUCCCAAUUAUGAUUCAGCUUCCCAGUCUAGUUUCUCACUCUAUGCAGCCCUUUUUUUAUUUUUUGAGAUGAAACUCCAUGUAGGCGCCCGUUAACGAGUCAUUAAUGGGCGCCUGCAAUGCAUACCACUUCCCGCCAGCUGGGCCGGCUCUUUUUUUUUCUUCUCAUUUGUUAAAUCGCAAAAUCAAUGCGCUCCUGGUUUUUUUAGGGGUACAAUGCGCUCCUGGUGAAUCAAACUAGAGACCUCCCUCGUGUUACCACGCUACAUUUACCAACCCACCACCCAGCCGAGUCUGAUUUGAUGAACUUUCUUAAGUAGUGGGCGCUGCAAUCAAACACUAGUAGGCGAAUUGUCUAGCAGUGUGCAUUAUCUCACGCGAAAGGUGUGGCCUGAAUUCGACUCCCCGUGACGCACGUUUUUUUUUUUGGUGACUUUCGCCCACUAGUUCUUCUGUGAGCGCCAGUUCUCUUCGGGGGCGCUUAGGGUGUGUUUGGUUGAGGAACCAAGUGGAAUGAAAUGUAAUGGUUACAUUCCACUGGAAUGGAACGGUUCCGUUCUUGUGUUUGGUGGAGAUAACGAGAUGGAAUGAAAUGGUUCCGUCUUGGUGUUUGGUU